rnacentral:rRNA from 1 species
GGGGAAUAUUGGACAAUGGGCGCAAGCCUGAUCCAGCCAUGCCGCGUGGGUGAUGAAGGCCCUAGGGUUGUAAAGCCCUUUCGGCGGGGAAGCUAAUGACGGUACCCGCAGAAGAAGCCCCGGCUAACUUCGUGCCAGCAGCCGCGGUAAUACGAAGGGGGCUAGCGUUGCUCGGAAUCACUGGGCGUAAAGCGCACGUAGGCGGAUCGUUAAGUCGGGGGUGAAAUCCUGGAGCUCAACUCCAGAACUGCCUCCGAUACUGGCGAUCUUGGAGUCCGGGAGAGGUGAGUGGAACUCCGAGUGUAGAGGUGAAAUUCGUAGAUAUUCGGAAGAACACCAGUGGCGAAGGCGGCUCACUGGCCCGGUACUGACGCUGAGGUGCGAAAGCGUGGGGAGCAAAC